AACGAACGCUGGCGGCAGGCCUAACACAUGCAAGUCGAGCGAGCCCUUCGGGGUUAGCGGCGGACGGGUGAGUAACGCGUGGGAAUAUGCCCUUCUCUACGGAAUAGUCUCGGGAAACUGGGGGUAAUACCGUAUACGCCCUUUUGGGGAAAGAUUUAUCGGAGAAGGAUUAGCCCGCGUUGGAUUAGGUAGUUGGUGGGGUAAUGGCCUACCAAGCCUACGAUCCAUAGCUGGUUUGAGAGGAUGAUCAGCCACACUGGGACUGAGACACGGCCCAGACUCCUACGGUAGGCAGCAGUGGGGAAUCUUAGACAAUGGGGGCAACCCUGAUCUAGCCAUGCCGCGUGAGUGAUGAAGGCCUUAGGGUUGUAAAGCUCUUUCAGCUGGGAAGAUAAUGACGGUACCAGCAGAAGAAGCCCCGGCUAACUCCGUGCCAGCCGCCGCAGUAACAC
rnacentral:rRNA from 1 species